rnacentral:rRNA from 1 species
AAUAUUGCGCAAUGGGGGGAACCCUGACGCAGCAACGCCGCGUGAGUGACGAAGGUUUUCGGAUCGUAAAGCUCUGUCAUUGGGGACGAAAAGAUGACGGUACCCAAGGAGGAAGACCCGGCUAACUACGUGCCAGCAGCCGCGGUAAUACGUAGGGGGCGAGCGUUGUCCGGAAUUACUGGGCGUAAAGGGUACGCAGGCGGCCUGAUAAGUCAGCUGUGAAAUACCACGGCUUAACCGUGGGGGUGCAGUUGAAACUGUUGGGCUUGAGUGCAGGAGAGGAAAGCGGAAUUCCUAGUGUAGCGGUGAAAUGCGUAGAGAUUAGGAGGAACACCAGUGGCGAAGGCGGCUUACUGGGCUUUUACUGACGCUGAGGCUCGAAAGCGUGGGGAGCAAACA